UACGUAGGCAGCGAGCGUUGUUCGGAGUUACUGGGCGUAAAGGGUGUGUAGGCGGUUGUUUAAGUUUGGUGUGAAAUCUCCCCGGCUCAACCGGGAGGGUGCGCCGAAUACUGAAUGACUAGAGUGCGGGAGAGGAAAGUGGAAUUCCUGGUGUAGCGGUGAAAUGCGUAGAUAUCAGGAGGAACACCGGUGGCGAAGGCGGCUCUCUGGACGGUGACUGACGCUGAGACGCGAAAGCGUGGGGAGCGAACAGG
rnacentral:rRNA from 1 species